UGGAGGCAGCAGUGGGGAAUAUUGGACAAUGGGCGCAAGCCUGAUCCAGCCAUGCCGCGUGUGUGAAGAAGGCCUUCGGGUUGUAAAGCACUUUUGUUGGGGAAGAAAAGGCGCCGGUUAAUACCCGGUGUUUCUGACGGUACCCAAAGAAUAAGCACCGGCUAACUUCGUGCCAGCAGCCGCGGUAAUACGAAGGGUGCAAGCGUUACUCGGAAUUACUGGGCGUAAAGCGUGCGUAGGUGGUUCGUUAAGUCAGAUGUGAAAGCCCCGGGCUCAACCUGGGAAUUGCAUUUGAUACUGGCGGGCUAGAGUGCGGUAGAGGAGAGUGGAAUUCCCGGUGUAGCAGUGAAAUGCGUAGAGAUCGGGAGGAACAUCAGUUGCGAAGGCGGCUCUCUGGACCAGCACUGACACUGAGGCACGAAAGCGUGGGGAGCAAACAGGAUUAGAUACCCCGGU
rnacentral:rRNA from 1 species